GGGGUUGUAGCUCAGUGGUACAGCACUUGCCUCACCUGUAUGAGACACUGGGUUCGAUCCUCAGAACCACA
rnacentral:tRNA from 1 species